rnacentral:rRNA from 1 species
GACGAACGCUGGCGGCACGCCUAACACAUGCAAGUCGAACGGAGUUAUGAGAGCUUGCUUUCAUAACUUAGUGGCGGACGGGUGAGUAACACGUGAGCAACCUACCUUUAAGAAAGGGAUAGCUUCUGGAAACGGAUGGUAAUACCUUAUAACAUAGAAAUACGGCAUCGUAUUUUUAUCAAAGAUUUUAUCGCUUAAAGAUGGGCUCGCGGCUGAUUAGCUAGAUGGUGAGGUAAUGGCUCACCAUGGCGACGAUCAGUAGCCGGACUGAGAGGUUGAACGGCCACAUUGGGACUGAGACACGGCCCAGACUCCUACGGGAGGCAGCAGUGGGGGAUAUUGCACAAUGGAGGAAACUCUGAUGCAGCGAUGCCGCGUGGAGGAAGAAGGUCUUCGGAUUGUAAACUCCUGUUAUCGGGGACGAAGAUGACGGUACCCGACGAGGAAGCUCCGGCUAACUACGUGCCAGCAGCCGCGGUAAAGUCACGUCG